GAUUAGGUGGCCGAAUCUUUAAGGCGAUGGACGUCUAAUCCAUUGGGGUUUACCCGCGUGAGUUCGAAUCUCAUCCUGAUCG
rnacentral:tRNA from 1 species